rnacentral:tRNA from 1 species
CUUCAGCUGGUCUAGUGGUAUGAUUCUCGCUUUGGGUGCGAAGGCCACGGGUUCGAUUCCCGUCUGAGGG